GGGCAAUUAGCUCAGCUGGCUAGAGCGCCACAUUGACAUUGUGGAGGUCACUGGUUCAAGUCCAGUAUUGCCCACCA
rnacentral:tRNA from 5 species